rnacentral:tRNA from 1 species
UUAAUUGAAACCAAAACUAGAGGUAAGUCACUGUUAAUGAUUCCAAUGAGAAACUCUCCAAUUAAA